AAAGACUCAUAAAAGUGACUGAUCAUCAGGGCCGGUGCUACCAUUUAGGCCAACUAGGCGGUUGCCUAGGGCGCCAACAUUUGGAGGCACCAAAAAGCAGCACCCCCAAUU